rnacentral:rRNA from 1 species
AACGCCAAGAACCUUACCAAGGCUUGACAUGAACCGGAAAGGCGUAGAAAUACGUCCCCCACUUGUGGUCGGUUUACAGGUGGUGCAUGGUUGUCGUCAGCUCGUGUCGUGAGAUGUUGGGUUAAGUCCCGCAACGAGCGCAACCCUCGUUCUAUGUUGCCAGCACGUGAUGGUGGGGACUCAUAGGAGACUGCCGGGGUCAACUCGGAGGAAGGUGGGGAUGACGUCAAAUCAUCAUGCCCCUUAUGUCUUGGGCUUCACGCAUGCUACAAUGGCCGGUACAAAGGGUUGCGAUACUGUGAGGUGGAGCUAAUCCCAAAAAGCCGGUCUCAGUUCGGAUUGGGGUCUGCAACUCGACCCCAUGAAGUCGGAGUCGCUAGUAAUCGCAGAUCAGCAACGCUGCGGUGAAUACGUUCCCGGGCCUUGUACACACCG